AAAAUAUUUGGACCGUCGUUCUAUCGAGCAAUUUCACCCGCUCGGUGGAAGAUCUUCCCUUUGUUGU
rnacentral:pre_miRNA from 1 species